CUACCUACGGGGGGCAGCAGUGGGGAAUAUUGGACAAUGGGGGGAACCCUGAUCCAGCGACGCCGCGUAAGUGAAGAAGUAUUUCGGUAUGUAAAGCUCUAUCAGCAGGGAAGAAAGAAAUGACGGUACCUGACUAAGAAGCCCCGGCUAACUACGUGCCAGCAGCCGCGGUAAUACGUAGGGGGAGAGCGUUAUCCGGAUUCACUGGGUGUAAAGGGAGCGUAGACGGCCAAGCAAGCCAGGGGUGAAAGCCCGUGGCCCAACCCCGGGACUGCCCUUGGAACUGCAUGGCUGGAGUGCGGGAG
rnacentral:rRNA from 1 species